rnacentral:lncRNA from 1 species
CAGAACUAAAUAUGAAUAGCCUGCACUCUUUCAUUAUCUAAGAGUGACAAACUCAUAAAAAAUGAUGGCUUUCUGUUAUUUUAUCUCCAUAGCAACCAUAUUAUUUUUUGGUCCCAUGGGGAUGACGAACAGGUCUGUGUACGUUUUAGAAGAAUUGGUAAAAAGUUGACAUUCGGAUAUCCUUAGCAACCAAGGUUGUUUGUCAACCACGUCCACAUUCCCAUCAUAGUCAUGUCAUAUGUUAUAUCGCUUUGUUCAGCUUGAGCCGGGAAUUCAUGUAUUUAAUUUUCAAAUUAUUCUGGUAAUAAACGUGCGAGUAAUAGGGGGAACGCCACUUUUGCGAGCUCGCCAUGAUAACGGCACUCAAAAUUUACAAUCUUUAACACCACAGUUUUUUCCCCAAAAGUAACAAGUGAUCGAUGAGUUGGGAGGUGAUAGACAGACAAUGUUUUGUUAGUUUUGAACUAUUUCUUUGGAGCCACAUAAGAGAUUUCGGCCCCGUGCAUUUUUUGAUGGUUUCUCCUGCUGUGAUGUCAUCAGGGGGCGGGUCACUAUGCUCAAACUUGACUUUCAGUGGGUGCUAGGCCGGGCGUGUGCAAAUAUUGCUGAGUUUCUGAGCUUGCAGUGGGAGUGAAAUUCUCACUCCAACGCGCAGGAAGAUUAGGAAAACAAUCUGGUCCCCUGCCGUCCAGGACAUGAAAAAUAAAAAGCUGAAGAAGUCAGUGCUGAUCGACCGUAGGAACACAUUGUUCAAAUAUUUCAGUAUUCCUCACUUGUUGAUGUUCUUAACCCCCCUUUCCUUUCCAUGUGUAUGCAGUCAUCACCUGUCUGCUCAAGAGCUCCCUGCAGAACCAAAGGCGGAUGAAGACGAGCUGAUCUUCAGUGGAUCACGUCUGCAGAGAAAACACUGCAGCACAGAAAUGAGUCCAUUCUGCAGACGGAUGACGCAUCCAGCUGGUUGGAUUUCUGUCAUCAGAAUGAACAGGUUUUAAUGUGGUCGGGUUUUUAUUUGCCCCUCAGUGUUUAAGUCACUGACUGCAGCCAGAAAACAGCUCGAGUUUAAGCGAAACAUCUAACCUUUUCCUGUUUUUAUAACCUUGUUACAAAAUGUGUUGCACUAGAUUGAACUGAUUUAAUAAACGGGCAGAAAGCUAUCAAAGAAAAACUGCAUGGGUUAAAAGAAGAAGUGAUUGUGAUUGGCUAAGAGCAGAGUCAUUGUAAUCCAGCAGAGAAAAGCCU